rnacentral:rRNA from 1 species
UGCCUAACAGCUAGCCCACUCAACCAACAACAACAAGCCCCUAUUAAUACCCCCAAAUAAACAAGUGUCAACCAAACAAACCAUUUUCCCCCCUAAGUAUAGGUGAUAGAAAAGGACCCGCAGAGCAACAGAAAAAGUACCGCAAGGGAACGCUGAAAAAG